UUUAAUUGAAGAGUUUGAUCAUGGCUCAGAUUGAACGCUGGCGGCAGGCCUAACACAUGCAAGUCGAGCGGUAACAGAA
rnacentral:rRNA from 1 species